GACGAACGCUGGCGGCGUGCUUAACACAUGCAAGUCGAGCGGUAAGGCCCUUUCGGGGGUACACGAGCGGCGAACGGGUGAGUAACACGUGGGUGACCUGCCCUUAGCUCUGGGAUAAGCCUGGGAAACUGGGUCUAAUACCGGAUAUGACUCCAUGACGCAUGUUGUGGGGUGGAAAGCCUUGUGCGGCUAGGGAUGGGCCCGCGGCCUAUCAGCUUGUUGGUGGGGUGAUGGCCACCAAGGCGACGACGGGUAGCCGGCCUGAGAGGGCGACCGGCCACACUGGGACUGAGACACGGCCCAGACUCCUACGGGAGGCAGCAGUGGGGAAUCUUGCGCAAUGGGCGAAAGCCUGACGCAGCGACGCCGCGUGGGGAUGACGGCCUGG
rnacentral:rRNA from 1 species